rnacentral:rRNA from 1 species
CCUACGGGAGGCAGCAGUGGGGAAUAUUGGACAAUGGGCGCAAGCCUGAUCCAGCCAUGCCGCGUGAGUGAUGAAGGCCCUAGGGUUGUAAAGCUCUUUUGUGCGGGAAGAUAAUGACGGUACCGCAAGAAUAAGCACCGGCUAACUACGUGCCAGCAGCCGCGGUGACACGUAGGCUCCAAGCGUUGUCCGGGUUUAUUGGGCGUAAAGAGCUCGUAGGCGGUUUAGUAAGUCGGGUGUGAAAACUCUGGGCUUAACCCGGAGACGCCAUCCGAUACUGCUACGACUUGAGUUCAGGAGGGGAGCGGGGAAUUCCUAGCGUAGCGGUGAAAUGCGCAGAUAUAGGAGGAACACCGGUGGCGAAGGCGCCGCUCUGGACUGAAACUGACGCUGAGGAGCGAAAGCAUGGGUAGCAAACAGGAUUAGAUACCCUGGUAGUCCAUGCCGUAAACGGUGGGCACUAGGUGUGGGUUCCAACUAACGGGAUCCGCGCCGUCGCUAACGCAUUAAGUGCCCCGCCUGGGGAGUACGGUCGCAAGACUAAAACUCAAAGGAAUUGACGG